CUCGGCGUUCGGGCCAAAGGGGACCCUGUCCGCCUGUCCCCCCUCGCAGGGGACAUCUCGGGGGCGCUAGGACCGAGGAUGGGUGGCUUCCGACGGGAGAGGACGAGUCGGCUGCUGAAAGACCCUGCGGGUCGAUAUCGCUGGCGUCCCCGAUCCUGGACUGACGUCAGGGCGGAGAUGCAAGGCCCUGACGGCAGAGCCUCUGGUCCGCGCUUGGGGCUGCCUACACGCACUGUGAGGUGACGUCACCCACUGACCGCACCGGCACGUCCUAAUCAGCUUCAGAGGACAUCUGGGAGGGUUCUGGGAUUCUGAACCAGCAGAGGACACAGAGCAGGCCUGACUUUAGAGGAACUGGCCUAACUCUGCCUGCUUACAUCAGUGAAGCAGAUCAAAGAUGCUGCUCUGGCUAAUUCUACAGGGACCUAGGACUUGCACUUCCUGGAUCAUCACUUGAGGAUUUUCAUCUCAUUUCACCGCCUGGACACCACAGCGGCGGGGAAACAACAGUGUCAUGGCUUCCAUACUGGCUGUGGCUGCCCGUGGAGAGGUUUGGAGCUGCCGUUACCGUGCAGCCGCGUUCCCACACAGCCCCGCUUAGCCUGUGCGCAGCUGCGGGAUUCUCGCUGUCUUCUGCAGGGUCUCCGGCCCCUUCACCUGACCGAGCCCCACAGGAGACACAGCCAAGGACCCCGCGCCAGUAGCAGUGGGUGAGAUCUCCAAUGUUGGGGGUGGCCGUAACAAGGAGAAAACUGUGACGUUAUUUUGCCUCGAGUUCUUUGUUUGGGUGAGGGAUGAUUUGGGGGCAGGAGGGGGUAGAGGUGAAAGCCUCUUUAUUUUGGGAUUGCCACGGGCAGACAGUGCCAUACGGCUUCACCAAGCUUAGGUGUGUUUGGUAGGGUGACUGUGGUCACUACGUAAGUGCUUGUCAGCCCGGUCUGCCUGGGUGCCAGGUGCUGUGUGUGGUCCAAAGAGCCCCACUCCUCUCUCUCCCCGUGGUCUGCUGUCCUGAGGGAGAGGCCUGUCGUUGCCCAGCUGGAGGAGAGGAAAAGCCGCUGGGGACUUGCAGAGGCUCCUCGCCCUGGGCACUGCGGAAGGAUGCGGAGGGCUGGAGGCUGGGAGAUGUGAGGGGCAGGGAGGAGGUGAGCGGCGGGUGGAGGUGUCCGCCCCAGCACCCGGCCGGGGCCUGAGCGAGCUCAGGCAGAGCAGGGAAGGUCUCGGGGGCCUCUCGCUCUGCAGGCGUUCCCCCGCGGCACCCCCAGCUCGCGAGCGGGCUUACGAAGCGGCGAGGAAUGCAACCGCCGCGCCGGGUAACCAAAGGCAGAUGGGGAGAGGAGGGAGGAACGUGUCGGGGUCGGCUGGGCUGCUCCCUUCACCGCCGUGGUCAGAGCCCUCGGAGGCUGAGGCUUGGGGUGCCGGGACGCAGCCCCCGUGCCUCCCUGCCUCCCCCGGGACAGCAGAGCAGAUCGCAGGGCGCGGGUGCCGCCGGGGGACAGUGGCUUGUCACCCACCGCCCAUCACCCCCGGGCACGUCCCGCUGCAGCUCGGCGUCAGAGCAGAGGGGAGGGGGGAGAGGCGGGGGUCGCCCCCGCGUAGGGCAUGGAUCCAGGCCACCCCACGGGGCGAACUCAACCGGAGAGGCAGGGGCUUUCGGCUGCAGCCUGUGCGGAAGGGUUAAUGCCUGAGGAAGGGGCCAAGCCACGCUGUCGCAGCGCGUUAACCCUUUGCAGGCAGCGCCAGCCGGCAGAAAUGGCCCGUGGACACGGGAGCGUGGCAGGAUGUGGAGCUCCAUCCCCGACCCCUUCUUAUGCCUUCGGCUGUCCAGACACUAAUUAGUGCCCUCCUGAAGAGGAGCAAAUCGCAGAGUAAUCCCGCAUUGGUAGGUAGCUCAUCAUAGCGAGAUUCCCUGUAGAUACAUUAGGCAGGGAAAUCUAUUACUCUCUAAUUAAAUGGAGACAAAAAUGAUUGUUCUUUUUCUAUCCCUUAUAUGUUUCAAAGCAUAAAACUCAAUUAAAGUGUAUCCGCAGAAGGGGAUUUGUCUACAGUGGGGCUUCUUCAUUUUGCACAUGCUUUUAAAAGCUGAGCAAACACCUGGGCCACCGUGAUGGUGCCUCCAAUUCCUUGGGUUUUGGG